CCCUUAGAUGUUCUGGGCCGCACGCGUGCUACACUGAGUAAUUCAAUGGGUAAGGGAACGCUAGAGCAUUACCUAAUCUUGAAAUUUGCUGGUGAUGGGGAUCGACGGUUGCAAUUUUCCGUCGUGAACGAGGAAUACCUUGUAGGCGCAUGUCAUCAUCAUGCGCCGAAUACGUCCCUGCCCUUUGUACACACCGCCCGUCGCUCCUACCGAUUGAGUGAUCCGGUGAGGCUCUGGGACCUGGACGGAAAGAGCGUUUCGCUUGUUCUGUUUGGGAAACUUGGUCGAACCUUAUCAUUUAGAGGAAGGAGAAGUCGUAACA
rnacentral:rRNA from 1 species